AUGCAGAGUUGUAGUCUUACACACCUCUCUGCUGCUUCCAUAGAACCCUCAUCCACCAACAAUAACAUAUUUAACACUAUAGAGGUAGUCUCUGUUCCACGGUUAAAAGUUCACCAAGCACAGAGCAGGGGAGCGGUCAAUCACCAAAAUCUUAUUAAAAUUAAUACUGAAGCACAAGUUGGAGAAACUAAUAUCACAAUUAAGUGUGGACUGUUAAAUAUUAGAUCUCUUUUGUGUAAAUCCCUGUUAGUACAGGACCUGAUAGCGGAUCAUCACAUUGAUUUAUUUUGUCUUACUAAGACCUGGCUUCAGGAGGAGGAGUAUGUUAGCUUAGAUGAAUCUACUCCUCCUACCCAUCUGAAUUAUCAUAUUCCUCGUGUUACUGGUCGAGGAGGGGGAGUGGCAGCAAUCUAUCACUCCAAGUUAUUAAUUAAUCCUAGACCAAAACAUGGCUCCAGUUCAUUUGAAAGCCUGACUCUUGGCAUCAACCAUCUGAACUGGAAGGCAGAAAAGCCACUUCUAUUUGUAGUUGUAUAUCGGCCCCCUGCUGGGCCACAUUCAGAGUUCCUGUCUGAGUUCUCUGAUUUCUUAUCUGACUUGGUCCUUAGAACAGACAAAGUCAUUAUCAUUGGAGACUUUAACAUCCAUGUAGACAUUGUAAAUGACAGCUUUAGAAAUGGCUUCAUUUCAUUACAUGAGUCAGUUGGUUUCCUCCAGCAGAUAAACCAACCAACUCAUAGCUUCAACCACACCCUAGAUCUAGUUCUGACUUAUGGUGUUGAGAUAGAACAUGUGUCAGUGUUCCCUCAGAAGCCACUCCUGUCAGACCAUUCUUUGAUCAUUUUCACAUUUAUGAUUAAGGAUUCUUCUCUGCUCAGAGUACAGUCUUACUAUAGCAGAUGUCUUUCAGAUAAUGCUGUAGCUAAGUUUAAGGAAGUGAUCCCUGUGCUAAUCCCAGGACCACUGUGUGUUUCCCCAGGGAUAAAUAAUUAUAAUCUUAGCCCUGCUGAGGUUGACUCUAUUGCUGAAGGUGCAGCAACCUCACUGAGAAUCAUCGCUAAUUCAGAAAUCCAAGACCACCACGUGUCUUUUAGAUCCCAUCCCAACACACCUGUUGAAGGAUGUUUUACCAUUGAUAGGCAGUUCUAUCCUGGACCAGAUCAAUGGUUCUUUAGUGACAGGUUAUGUACCCCGGUCCUACAAGGUGGCAGUGAUUAA
rnacentral:lncRNA from 1 species